GUACUUCGGUACGAUCGGUGACAGGUGGUGCAUGGUUGUCGUCAGCUCGUGUCGUGAGAUGUUGGGUUAAGUCCCGCAACGAGCGCAACCCCUAUUGUUAGUUGCCAUCAUUCAGUUGGGCACUCUAGCGAGACUGCCGGUAAUAAACCGGAGGAAGGUGGGGAUGACGUCAAAUCAUCAUGCCCCUUAUGACCUGGGCUACACACGUGCUACAAUGGUUGGUACAACGAGUUGCGAGUCGGUGACGGCGAGCUAAUCUCUUAAAGCCAAUCUCAGUUCGGAUUGUAGGCUGCAACUCGCCUACAUGAAGUCGGAAUCGCUAGUAAUCGCGGAUCAGCACGCCGCGGUGAAUACGUUCCCGGGCCUU
rnacentral:rRNA from 1 species